UGCCCAGCAACUCCUAUCCCUACCUCCUCAUGGUACUGGCCGGGGUACGAGUAACCUUGGGGAAGA
rnacentral:ribozyme from 1 species